rnacentral:rRNA from 1 species
GCGACGGUUGUCCCGGUUUAAGCGUGUAGGCUGGUUUUCCAGGCAAAUCCGGAAAAUCAAGGCUGAGGCGUGAUGACGAGGCACUACGGUGCUGAAGCAACAAAUGCCCUGCUUCCAGGAAAAGCCUCUAAGCAUCAGGUAACAUCAAAUCGUACCCCAAACCGACACAGGUGGUCAGGUAGAGAAUACCAAGGCGCUUGAGAGAACUCGGGUGAAGGAACUAGGCAAAAUGGUGCCGUAACUUCGGGAGAAGGCACGCUGACACGUAGGUGAAGUGAUUUACUCAUGGAGCUGAAGUCAGUCGAAGAUACCAGCUGGCUGCAACUGUUUAUUAAAAACACAGCACUGUGCAAACACGAAAGUGGACGUAUACGGUGUGACGCCUGCCCGGUGCCGGAAGGUUAAUUGAUGGGGUCAGCGCAAGCGAAGCUCCUGAUCGAAGCCCCGGUAAACGGCGGCCGUAACUAUAACGGUCCUAAGGUAGCGAAAUUCCUUGUCGGGUAAGUUCCGACCUGCACGAAUGGCGUAAUGAUGGCCAGGCUGUCUCCACCCGAGACUCAGUGAAAUUGAACUCGCUGUGAAGAUGCAGUGUACCCGCGGCAAGACGGAAAGACCCCGUGAACCUUUACUAUAGCUUGACACUGAACAUUGAGCCUUGAUGUGUAGGAUAGGUGGGAGGCUUUGAAGUGUGGACGCCAGUCUGCAUGGAGCCGACCUUGAAAUACCACCCUUUAAUGUUUGAUGUUCUAACGUGGACCCGUUACCCGGGUUGCGGACAGUGUCUGGUGGGUAGUUUGACUGGGGCGGUCUCCUCCUAAAGAGUAACGGAGGAGCACGAAGGUUGGCUAAUCCUGGUCGGACAUCAGGAGGUUAGUGCAAUGGCAUAAGCCAGCUUGACUGCGAGCGUGACGGCGCGAGCAGGUGCGAAAGCAGGUCAUAGUGAUCCGGUGGUUCUGAAUGGAAGGGCCAUCGCUCAACGGAUAAAAGGUACUCCGGGGAUAACAGGCUGAUACCGCCCAAGAGUUCAUAUCGACGGCGGUGUUUGGCACCUCGAUGUCGGCUCAUCACAUCCUGGGGCUGAAGUAGGUCCCAAGGGUAUGGCUGUUCGCCAUUUAAAGUGGUACGCGAGCUGGGUUUAGAACGUCGUGAGACAGUUCGGUCCCUAUCUGCCGUGGGCGCUGGAGAACUGAGGGGGGCUGCUCCUAGUACGAGAGGACCGGAGUGGACGCAUCACUGGUGUUCGGGUUGUCAUGCCAAUGGCACUGCCCGGUAGCUAAAUGCGGAAGAGAUAAGUGCUGAAAGCAUCUAAGCACGAAACUUGCCCCGAGAUGAGUUCUCCCUGAGACUUAAAGUCUCCUGAAGGAACGUUGAAGACGACGACGUUGAUAGGCCGGGUGUGUAAGCGCAGCGAUGCGUUGAGCUAACCGGUACUAAUGAACCGUGAGGCUUAACCUUACAACGCCGAAG